UGUAGUCCCAGAGCUGAGCUCAAAUGUUCUAGUCUUUCUCCUUCUUGAAAAGGGAAUUCAUAUGCCCCCUAUGAAUUUGGGUCAGGCCAGGUGCCUUGCUUUGGCAAGUGUAAUGCAGGAGAAAGUGGUAUGCCAGAAACCACGUUGGAGCUUCUCUUCCCUCCAUAAGAGCACCUCUCUGUAUUUCAGACAAUGGAGACUCUGAUGCAAUGAUGGUAACCCGAACUUACCCUUUUCUGGAGAUUCCUGAGGAACCACAGAGGCAUAUGUUUCUGGGCUCACCUAACAAAUCAGUCACAUCACAGCCACUACCAUCAAACUAAAUCCACUGUGAGAGAGUUACUUCAGAGGACGGGUACCAUGGUGGGGUGUGUGUACGUGUGAAAUUUUGUUUGCUUCUUUGUUCAAGAUUACCUAUUACAGGAAUUUCUCAUUUAUGAUGGACCCUAUUUUAUGAAAACUUACUAUUUAAUAAAUAAGUUGACUCGGGGA